rnacentral:misc_RNA from 1 species
AAGGAGUCUAACAUGUAUGCGAGUAUUUGGGUGGCAAACCCGAAUGCGUAAUGAAAGUGAACGAGUGGGACCGGGCUUGCCUGGGCACCAUUGACCGAUCUUGAUAUCUCUUGAUAGAUUUGAGUAAGAGCAUAUCUGUUGGGACCCGAAAGAUGGUGAACUAUGCCUGAAUAGGGCGAAGCCAGAGGAAACUCUGGUGGAGGCUCGUAGCCGUUCUGACGUGCAAAUCGAUGGUCAAAUUUGGGUAUAGGGGCGAAAGACUAAUCGAACCAUCUAGUAGCUGGUUCCCUC